rnacentral:rRNA from 1 species
AGAGUUUGAUCAUGGCUCAGAAUUAACGCUGGCGGUAUGUCUAAUACAUGCAAGUCGAGCAAGGCUUAGAGCCGAGCGGCGAACGGCUGAGUAACACGUUGGUAGCUGCCCCGAACUCAGGGAUAACAUUUAGAAAUAAAUGCUAAUACCGGAUAGUCCCGAAAGGGUAAAGUUUUUUCGGUUCGGGAGGGGCCUGCGGCCUAUCAGUUUGUUGGUGAGGUAAAAGCUCACCAAGACUAUGACGGGUAGCUGGUCUGAGAGGAUGACCAGCCAGAAUGGGACUGAGACACGGCCCAUACUCCUACGGGAGGCAGCAGUAAAGAAUCUUCCACAAUGGGCGAAAGCCUGAUGGAGCAAUACCGCGUGAAGGAUGAAUGUCGAAAGAUUGUAAACUUCUUUUCUGGGGGAAGAAUUAUGACGGUACCUCAGGAAUAAGCACCGGCUAACUCCGUGCCAGCAGCCGCGGUAAUACGGAGGGUGCAAGCGUUAUUCGGAAUUAUUGGGC